UACGUAGGGUGCAAGCGUUAAUCGGAAUUACUGGGCGUAAAGCGUGCGCAGGCGGUUCGUUGUGUCGGUGGUGAAAGCCCCGGGCUCAACCUGGGAAUGGCCAUGGAAACUGGCGAACUGGAGUGUGGCAGAGGGGGGUGGAAUUCCGCGUGUAGCAGUGAAAUGCGUAGAGAUGCGGAGGAACACCGAUGGCGAAGGCAGCCCCCUGGGCUAGCACUGACGCUCAGGCACGAAAGCGUGGGGAGCAAACAGG
rnacentral:rRNA from 1 species